GUGAGGGACACAAAUGUUUCCUCUUUCAGGAAGACGCGGAAAAGUCUCUGCCUUCAUUCAUGAGAUGUGAAUUUCACCUGCUUUCUCUUUCAUUUCAGCCGAAUACGAUCCAGCUGGUAAGUAAAACAUCUUCUCUUUCUUGGAAACCAUAACAAUAAACAAAGCAGUGGUGAAGCAUCACUCACACACUUUGUAAGUUUACCCCCACAAAGAUUUAAGUUAUUAAUAUCAUUUAUUACAUAUUCAUCUUUGUUAUACACCUUUAUGUCAGGUAUAUUCCAAAUAAUAUUGACUUUCUGUUUCUGUUACCACCAAAAUUCUGGAUUGUUGGUAUCUUUGUAAGGGUCAACUUGCAAACUUCCUGUUUUAAGGUGUGAUGUAGACACGUGUUACAAGUUCAGCAGGAAAAUAAAAGCUUCCCUCCAUUAGGAGUAGCUUGAUACUCGUGUAAGCGCACGCAAUAGAAAGUAUCACAGCCAACUUUUGAUGAGUCGUCAUGAUAACGAACAUCAAGGGCCUGAUCUACUAAAGGUUUGUGUGUAUUAAAAUAUGUGCAAACCUGAUCUAAUUAAUUUGUGUGCAGAGUCUCUGAAAUGAGCAAAAUAGAGAGCGCAAUCCAUUAAGCGUGUCUGUCUUCAUGUAUGUGCAGAAUAUAUGCUGAUUAUCAAUCCCCCACAAUAGUAGGAGGAGGAGAUACAAAUGUAACUAAAUGAGGCAAUUCCUGAAGGAAUUGCGUGUGAAUGCUCCAAUGCUGAAGUUGAACUGAAAUGCUGACAGAAUGUAGUAUGAAUGUAAGAAUAGAAGAAAGUUUGAAUGUUGAAGAGUUUGAAUUCCCAGGAAAACCGGAAUUUGGUUUGAAACUUGGGAAAGUGUUAGUUUGAAUGUCCAGGAUGAGAGGAAUGUGUUAAUGUUGAAAUGCUUUGAAUAGAUUGAAAAAUGUGGGAAUUGCGCAACUUGGAAAAAUGUCCCAUUCAUUUCAAUGGGAACUUCCUGGAAAAUUGGGAUUUUUUUAGGAAAUGAUUAGGAGCAUGAAUAUCCUGAAUGAGCUGAAUUUGUUGGUGUUGGAAUUGUUUGAAUAGGGCAACAAAUUGAAAAAUAGUAAAUGGUAUUUGGCAAUUUGUUGGAAAAUGGUAAAAAAAAAACUUGAAUGAGUUGAAAUGGUUGGUGUUGGAAUUUUUCAAAUCGGUCGAGAAAUGUUGAAAUAGUAACAUGUUGAAUUGAGAAAUGGUAUUCCUGGAAUUAGUUUUUUGUCCUGAUUAAGAGGAAUGUUUUGACAGUAGAAUGGUUGAAAUGCGUUGAAAAAUGUGAAAGGAGUAGUCGCCAGGAAAAAAGGGUGGAAAUGGGGCUUUGGAAAACCAGGAAUUGUGGAAAAUCCUGGAAUUUUUUUUAACUUGGAAAAAGGGAAAUUUGAAUUUCCAGGAUGGUGGAAUGUGUUGAAGGUGGAAUGGUUUAAAUAGGUAGAAAAAUGUGGAAACGGUGGAAGUUUGAAAAAUGGCCAAUUCAUUUGGAAUGGGAAAAAUGUCCCGGGAAUUCUGGGAAAUCUGGGAAUUUUUGGAAUUUGUCAAGGGAAAGCCCGCGAUUCCCGAAUAAGCUGAACAGUUUCAAGUUGGAACGGUUUGAUUCCGGUGAAAAAUAUGAAAGGUAGAACGCGCCAAAAUCUUAACAAGAAGAAGACGUUUAAUAAUAAAUAGAUGAAUUUUGGUGUAGAAAACCAUAUUAGUGAAUGUUUGGAGCAUUCACACAAUUAUUUAGCAUCUCACACAGAACAGACUCAAGAAUAAAGAUCAAGAAGCCAGUAAAAAAGAAGAAGAUGAAAUGGGCAAAGUGAAAGGAAACAGAGGCAUGGCACUAAGCUAUCCAUACACUUGGGUAAAACUGAAUCCAUCCUGUUUGGGUCCCACAUCAACCUUAAGAAAGUCAAUGACUUCACUAUAAAAGUGGGUGACAUUGUUAUCACCAGGAAGGAUGAGGUCACCUACCUAGGUUCCAUUCUAGAGGCUGAUCUUUCCUGUGAUAAAAUGGCAACCAAGGUAAUCAAAAAGGUCAACCAACGAACGAGAUUUCUCUCUAGAAUCUACUACUACCGCAACCUACUAAUAAAAGUCUCAAUCAAUCAAUCAAUCAAUCAAUAAUGGGACACUUAGGUGACUAAGACACUGGAGGGCUGGUUGCACAUGAGCCUUGAAGCCAAGCUUAACCUGUUUGGAGACUUAGUCUUAGACUAGUCAGGAAGUAGAAGAGCAGAAUUCUGCUUCUUGAUGCUUCUGAUUGAAUUGACAGCUGCAAAGAUGUGAUAUGAGUGAAGAUGCACCUUCUGGAUGGACUUCCUUCACCAGAGUGAGGUGUUGGCUCUGCAUGAGCAGCGUAACCAGCUCACGGUGCGUUUUGUGCUCCCACAGCUGGUGACGCUGGUAACGAGCUCUCAGAGAGACGUGAAGGCUGAAGGCUGAGUGAGACACAGUGAGGACUUUUCUUUUUCAUGCACCUCCAAAUGUUCUUCUGACUUUGUGUGAAGAUGAUGUUCAACUUGGCUCUCACUCUGCCACAUGCUAACAUCUGCACUUGGAUUCACCUGCUUUUGUUGGGAAUGUGCUGAGUCAUCUUCUUCCUCCAGGAUGCUUUGUGCACUGGAACACAGAGAGAUGUCUCCAUCGCUGAGGGACCUCAUCACACUUGGACAUUUCUUUCACAUCUGCACUAAUUGCUCCUCAUCUCAUCCAUCAUGUCUUCUUUGGGUGUUUAUGGCUGAGAAAACACCUUCAAUCUGCAUUUUUCAACAAUAUUUUGCCAGUGAAUCAUGUUGAUGUUGAUCUUUGUGUCCAUGUAGUUGUGAUGUCAUCAUUUGGGGCUCACGUGUCAUCACAUUGACAAGGAUGUCUUCUUUCCUUUUCAAACCAAUAGACAGCUGCUUAUCAGUGAAUAUCACCUUGUGUCACAUGUCAUCAUUAUUUUUACAAAUAUUUUGGAACAAUAGCACAAUUUUUCGGUACUUUUUUAUGUUAAAGUUAAUUGUUUGAUAAUCAAUUUUUUGUUGUAACAUUUAAGAAUGAUGAUUAUGAUAACUGCUGUCCAGUUGUUAUAUCUUGUUUUCUGGUUACAUUAGUCUCCUUUGCAAUGCAGUUGCACUUCCAAGACCAUUAGAUGGCAGCACUGUAUAACUAUUUAUGCUAUGUUGUCAAACUAGAAAGUAGCUUUUUUUCAGGAAGAUGAAUUUGUUAGGUUGCGCCCUACAAAGUGUCAAUACUGUAAGUAUUGUCCUCAUUGCACAAAACUGUAAAAUUCUAAUUAUAUUAUUAGUUAUCGUUUCCUUUACCAAAUCAAAGGUGUUGAAAUCGCCAUGUUAAAUCGCUCAUGCUAAUAGUCGCCUGUCUAUGGCUAAUACUAUGUAAAUUAGCAUUAAGCUAGCGCAUUUUGAAAGGGUGUAGCAUUACUUUAGGUUUGAGCGUAUUUUUUAUUAAGCACACUUUGUUGGUGUUGAAAAUGGCAAGGUGACUUAGAGGGAGUUUGGCUGAGUCCGGCCUGAGUGCUGCUUGAGUGAUUGUUUACGUGUUUAGUCUGAAACCAGACAUGACCAGUCUGAAACCGGACAUGACGUCACAUGCAACAAAGGUACGAACUACGGCACCGUUGGAUUUUACGUGAAUUGAUAGUACCGAAGGAAUUUGGUCAUUACCUACAAAAGUACUGAAUUGGGUAGCCAACCCUACCAGUUAGUGUGACGGAGGGAGACAGUGACACAAGAUUUUUAUGACAAAGCGUUGUGAAAUAUAUUUAUAUUUGUUUUAAAUAUUUGUUGUUUUUCCGUUCCUUUUUGCAUAGUCAUAUUUUUGCUUGAUUGCCAAACAUGGCUAGGAUGUCAUUUGGGAAGUAAACAAGGUAGGCCGUUCAUAUACUCUUGAUAUUCAGUGUUUUAUGUGUACUAUGUUUCAUGUACAUUCUGGGUGUUUUAUUCAGUAAAAACUUUUCAAAUACA